rnacentral:lncRNA from 1 species
ACGCUCAGUGCUAGUUGUUCUCUAACAACUACCUGUGCUCUCGCUCUAGUGUCACUACAUCGCAGACUCAAGAUUUAUCUAUCCGAAAGAAGCGAUCCAUGCACUGGUCUAUCCGGAUCAAUCACUAUCCCCAAGAUGAUCCUAUGAUCAGGAGCAAUUUAAAAAUUAACCAUCAAUGACACGUCUUAAAUUCUCAACUCUUUGAGAAUAUGUGUCAUCAUUUUGUUAAUCCCUUGGAUGAUUCAUGGACAUAUAAAAUAUGAAUAGUAAUAUAAAUAUCCAUAA